UACGAAUGGGGCGAGCGUUGUUCGGAAUCACUGGGCUUAAAGCGUGCGUAGGCGGAGAUGCAAGUCAGAAGUGAAAGCCCCGGGCUUAACCCGGGAACUGCUUUUGAAACUGCAUCUCUAGAAUCCGGUAGAGGUCAGGAGAAUUCCUAGUGUAGAGGUGAAAUUCGCAGAUAUUAGGAGGAAUACCAGUGGCGUAGGCGCCUGACUGGGCCGGUAUUUACGCUGAGGUACGAAAGCGUGGGUAGCAAACAGG
rnacentral:rRNA from 1 species